rnacentral:misc_RNA from 1 species
GAUGAAGAACGUAGCGAAAUGCGAUACUUGGUGUGAAUUGCAGAAUCCCGUGAACCAUCGAGUCUUUGAACGCAAGUUGCGCCUCAAGCCAUUAGGUUGAGGGCACGUCUGCCUGGGCGUCACAUAUCGUUGCCUGAUGCCAGUUUCCUCGUGAUGGGUGACUGUGCAGGGCGAAUGAUGGCUUCCCGUGAGCAAUGUUGCCUCAUGGUUGGUUGAAAAUUGAGUCCUUGGUAGGGAGCGCCGUGAUAGAUGGUGGUUGAGUGACGAACGAGACCCAAUCAUGUGAGACCCCUACCGAAUUUGGCCUUCAUGACCCACAUGCGUCUUUGGAACGCUCAUGACGAGACCUCAGGUCAGGCGGGGCUACCCGCUGAGUUUAAGCAUAUCAAUAAGCGGAGGA